UACAGAGGCCUCAAGCGUUGUUCGGAUUCAUUGGGCGUAAAGGGUGUGUAGGUGGCGCGCUAAGUCGGGUGUGAAAUUUCGGAGCUUAACUCCGAAACUGCAUUCGAUACUGGCGUGCUUGAGGACUGGAGAGGAGACUGGAAUUCAUGGUGUAGCAGUGAAAUGCGUAGAGAUCAUGAGGAAGACCAGUGGCGAAGGCGGCAUCCUGGACCAACACUGACACUGAGGAGCGAAAGCCAGGGGAGCAAACGGG
rnacentral:rRNA from 1 species